CUGAUGGGGCGCUUCCUCAAGUGGCUUACCCUAAAGAAGAGCUCCUGAGUCGCCGGAGGUGGAAACACUCCCAAGUGCUGGCUGACCACUUCUGGUCUCGAUUCAUCCGGCUGUACCUUCCGAGCCUGCAGCUUCGCCCGAAAUGGCAGUCAUCCCCCGCGGACGUCACAGAAGGUUUGGUGGUGAUGAUCAUAGAUCCUCAGCUGCCUCGCGCUUCCUGGCUCGUGGGUCGCAUCUCCAAGGUCCACCCCAGUCCCGACGGGCACAUCAGGUCUGCUGACGUCAAGGUGAAAGACAGGACCUUCACCCGACCUGUGGCGAGGCUGGUGGUACUGCCUGCCCUCCCGGACGAAGGCAAAGGACAAUCACUGUGACUUUAUUAGAGAAGUUACCUUUUGUUGUGAGCAAAUGUACUUCAUACAUUUGGGGGCGGCUGUACAAAAGGCCCCGUAGUUGUGAGUUUUAUUCUGUUCAGUUGUUCACCUGUAGUUUCUUAGAGUGGCCAGUAGAGGUCACCCCACCGCUUUGUAUGAGAGAGGAUUUGGGCAGGGAGAUACGUGGGUGAAGUAUAUGAGCGUUUCCACUCCUGAUUACCGGCAGAGAAGUGGUCAUUUCAUGAGAAGUGUGCGUUACUGAGCAACAGACCACACACACACACACCCCGCUCAUAUCCACACCGAUGCACCUAAACUUGUAUGUAACACCUGCUCCUCUGACUAGCCUGUUACCUCUGACCGUGUGAAGGCAAUACAAGCGUCUAAACCA